CAACUAUUAACCCAUUCCACACUCAAUUGCCAUGCACCUUUCUUUUCAUUGGCAGAAGUCAUCAUUUCGAAAGAUUGAGCACACAAGCUCCAUUUUGGCUACAAGUAUCUCUCGGCUCUCUUUGGCUGCCAUAGGAGACAAGCCACAACAAGAAAAGAAAACUCCCUGGGUUCUCCCUCUCGGCUCCCUCUCUUUUUUCCAGCAAACUCAACACACAAUUCAGAAACAAGGAGGCAGCCGCCGGUUGGACAAAGAGCCUGGAGCUUCCUCGAAAUUUUAGUCAAAGGACCACAACCUCAUUGAGUUUUUUUGGGACAAGCCUGGAUGAAAUUAAGAAAAAAGAAACGAUGCUGUGAAUGCAUGCCAAAUGCUUGAUAAAAUGCCGAAAUGGAAAAACGGAUUAAAAAGCUGAAUAUUCUGCAUGUUGUUGUCAAAACGGAUGACCGUUAGCUAGCACCGGGCUUGGAAAUGUGUGCUUAUCUAAUUUUUUUGGAGUUUUGAGCUUUAAAGACAUUAGAAUAAUUUUCUUCAUUUUUGGGGCUGUUUUGAUUUAAUGCAUCCUUUUGUUUUUGUUUACUUAUCAAACUAAGAUUAUAGUUGUAUUGUGGAAGUUAUAAGGAGGGUUUUGGUAUAAUUUUUAUGAUUUUUGGUGAAUAUUUGAGGGUUUUAAAAGAAUAAAAACUGAACUGAUUUCUUGGCAUUUUGACCACUUUCGGCUCAUUUUUUGUAAAAACUAACUCCGGAAUUGGAUUCUACGCGAAAAAUCGAGUUGGGGUGUGUAUUUUGAUAAUUUUUGUGAUCGGAAAAAAUUCGCCGGCGACCGGUGGUGGCGGCGCCGGCAGCCGCCAUGUCAGGCAUGGUUGGCGGUGGCGAGGAGCUUCAGCCGGCCAGGCAAGAAAAAGAAGAACCGGGAUGGUAGAAGAAGAAGUGGAGGAAGAAGAAAG